ACGAUAAUUUCGCUUUAGCUGCUGCCUAAUUAGGCGGCCCGUCAGUCCGGGGUUCCUGCACCUCGGGUAGCUGGCGUCAUUAAGUCAGGCCUUUUGCAUAGGAAGGUUAAAUGCUAGAACUACUGCAGCAGUAGCCUUGAACUGUAGUGGAAUUUAAAGGCUACCAAUAUCUGAAGCGUGUCAUUGGGCGUCAGGUUGAGGGAAUACUAAAAUAAGGACUGCACCCGGAGAAGUUCUUGUGGAUGUGGUUUCGGACAGGGGUUCGACUCCCCUCGCCUCCACCA
rnacentral:tmRNA from 1 species